rnacentral:misc_RNA from 1 species
GAAAUGCGAUAAGUAGUGUGAAUUGCAGAAUUCAGUGAAUCAUCGAAUCUUUGAACGCACAUUGCGCCCCUCGGUAUUCCGUGGGGCAUGCCUGUUCGAGCGUCAUCUACACCCUCAAGCUCUGCUUGGUGUUGGGCGUCUGUCCCGCCUCCGCGCGCGGACUCGCCCCAAAUGCAUUGGCAGCGGUUCCUUGCCCCCCUCUUUGCGCAGCGCAUUGCCAUUCGAGGCGGCGGCGGCCCGCGUCCAACAAGCUCAACCCCCCCGUCUUUGACCUCGGAUCAGGUAGGGAUACCCGCUGAACUUAAGC